UACGGAAGGGGCAAGCGUUGUUCGGAAUCAUUGGGCGUAAAGGGCGCGUAGGUGGUUCUGUAUGUCUACCGUGAAAGCGUACGGCUCAACCGUAUUUUGUCGGUAGAAACUGCAGGACUUGAGGCUGGGAGGGGCUGGUGGAAUUCCCUGUAUAGCGGUGAAAUGCGUAGAGAUGGGGGAGAACACUCGUGGCGAAGGCGGCCAGCUAGACCAGUUCUGACACUGAGGCGUGACAGCGUGGGGAGCAAACAGG
rnacentral:rRNA from 1 species